UAAGUACUCCUUCCGUUCCAUAAUUCUUGUCGAAAUCUUAGAUGUAUCUAGACACUUUUUAGUAGUAAUAGAUACAUCCAUUUUUGAGCAAAUUGAAAGGAAUUAUGAAACGGAGGGAGUAUAUU
rnacentral:pre_miRNA from 1 species